GCGGGUAUAGCUCAGUGGUAGAGCGCCUGGUUGUGGCCCAGGAGGCCGUGGGUUCAAAACCCACUACUCGCC
rnacentral:tRNA from 1 species